CAAUAGCGUAUAUUAAAGUUGUUGCGGUUAAAAAGCUCGUAGUUGGAUUUCUGUUGGGAACGACCGGUCCGCCCAUUGGGUGUGUAUCUGGCUUGUUCUCGGCAUCUUCUUGGUGAACGUUGCUGCACUUGACUGUGUGGAGCGCUACCCAGGACUUUUACUUUGAGGAAAUUAGAGUGUUUCAAGCAGGCAUAUGCCUUGAAUACAUUAGCAUGGAAUAGUAAGAUAGGACCUCGGUUCUAUUUUGUUGGUUUCUAGAGCUGAGGUAAUGAUUAAUAGGGAUAGUUGGGGGCAUUCGUAUUUAACUAUCAGAGGUGAAAUUCUUGGAUUUGUUAAAGACGGACUACUGCGAAAGCAUUUGCCAAGGAUGUUUUCAUUGA
rnacentral:rRNA from 1 species